rnacentral:lncRNA from 1 species
GUACUAUUAUUUAUAUAUUAAAUGUUUCAAUAUUUUCCAGCUGAUGAUAAUGGCAUAAGUACUACACUAGUAAUUGUUGUAGUAGCAGGUGGUACUGUCGCUGUUAUUGUGAUUGGUGUCAUUAUAAUGGCAGUUGUAAAGUCUUUUUCGGCUGGAGCAACAGUUGGCGCUGCCGAUGUUGCAGUUGUAUGGCAAUAGGAAAUGACGAUAUACGAUAAUACACUUGUUACUACUCACCAAAAUAAACAAUUAUGUUUUUGAUUGAACACGUAAUGGUUCAAAUGACUGAAAAUGAAUUGUUUGUAACAUUUAUAACUUAUUUCAUAUUGAUAGCAAUGGUAAAACAACCUGAUAAUUGUGUACUUUCAACUCAAGUUAAAGAAAUUUCAUGAGUGGCCAAGAACAUGAAAAUUAUAACUCGUCGACUGUCUUGUCUACCGUGAUUAUUUGUAUUCUGAACAUGUGCACACCUAAUUUAAGUCAUUGGAAAAAUUUCAAGCUGACAUCUCCUAUGAAGAUCUUGUUAUAGAACAAACCUCUGAAACUAUGAUAUAGAAACAGUAAAUGGCCAUUAGAGGGGUGGAAGACAUCUAGCUUCAACUUAACUAGGUGUUGACAGUAAACCCAAGACGAGGAGUAUGCCAUUAAAGAUUUCAUCAGUGGCCUACGUUUCAAUAACUUAGAAACUAUAUUUCGUAGAGGCAAAAUACCUUCAUUAUUGUACCUUAAUUUAUAUACAGGUUAAUAAAUGAAAGAUAAAUGACA